UUCGGAACAACACAGGGAAACUCGUGCUAAUGCCGAAUGUGCCCUUCGGGGGAAAGAUUUAUCGCCUUUAGAGCGGCCCGCGUCUGAUUAGCUUGUUGGUGAGGUAAAGGCUCACCAAGGCUACGAUCAGUAGCUGGUCUGAGAGGAUGAUCAGCCACACUGGGACUGAGACACGGCCCAGACUCCUACGGGAGGCAGCAGGUGGGAAUCUUGCGCAAUGGGACGAAAGCCUGACGCAGCCAUGCCGCGUGAAUGAUGAAGGUCUUAGGAUUAGUAAAUUCUUCACCGGGAAGAUAAUGACGGUACCCGGAGAAGAAGCCCCGGCUAACUUCGUG
rnacentral:rRNA from 1 species